GUACCGUGAGGGAAAGUUGAUAAGAAUCUUUGAAGAGAGAGUUCAAAAGGGCGUGAACCGCUUAGAAUAAAACGGACGGAGCCGUCAGUGGCCUUCCGGAAUCAGUCGUACGACGCGCCGUGGGUCGUCAGGUUGGAGCGAAAAGUCCGCCGGGCGACUAGAUACAGCGUUCGUUCGAUGCAUUUCCGGAGGGUAUGCGCCACGACCGAUGCGAAUGGCUAGCGAAUCCAGCGAAUUGAGGUGGAAACCCUUCGUGGUGUAUUCAUUACCAGUUUGCCGGCUACUAAUCGCUAGACCGUCGAUUGGCAUCGAGGGCCGAGUAAAGAACACCGGCGAAAGCGCUCGACUCAGCGGUGGAUAGUCGUCGGAACGAUCCACACCUGCUCGCAGGUCACGGUCGUAUCCGUUCGGCUUUUGAAGCCGCGGACGAGUUACGGCGUUCAGGCGUCGGUGGCGUCCGAGACGGUCAACCGUCCGACCCGUCUUGAAACACGGACCAAGGAGUCUAACGUACGCGCGAGCUAAUGAGUGGAAAACUCAUAAGCGCAAUAAAAGUAAAAGCCGUCUCCGGCGGCGCGGGGUACGAUCCCGGUGUAUCCGUACACCGGUCGCAGUACCAUCCCAUCCUGAUCGCUCGUCGAUAGGGUGGAGACUGAGUGCGUACGUUGGGACCCGAAAGAUGGUGAACUAUGCCUGAGCAGAGCGAAGCCAGAGGAAACUCUGGUGGAGGUUCGUAGCGGUUCUGACGUGCAAAUCGAUCGUCAGACUUGGGUAUAGGGGCGAAAGACUAAUCGAACCAUCUAGUAGCUGGUUCCUUCCGAA
rnacentral:rRNA from 1 species